CCUUGCCGAGGCUGUCCAGGCAGAUUCUCUUACCUGUGUCCAUGUCACACGAUGUGUUUGGCUAGCCAAGAGGACAGCUGGAUAUGUUAUUCAAACACCAAAUAAUGCUCUUCACUGCUCCAUUGGGACACUGACCAGUCAACACAGCUUCCCCAUGUGAUGGAGGCAGAGAUGAGUGAAUCUGCCAGGAUAGCCGCCCAUGGACAACUCAUGUUGCCUCUUUGCUUCUGCUUGGACUAUUUCUAUCUUUUCCAUCAUGUCAGAACUGCUGGUUUUGCUUUGGACUGCAAGAUGUUUGGAAAGCCACAUGCUUCUUCUGAAGCCGGCUCAGUCCCCUCUGUGCCAGCUUCAGCUGCUGCGUUCGCUUUCGCCCAGAAUGCCGGAUCCUGUCCAGAUGAGCCAGAGCAGAGGAGAGCAUCAGCUUCAGACUGACCAAACAGCACUGGAUUUCAUGUAGCCAUGGCCAAAAUCUUCCUGGCAGCCACAGCUUUGCUUUUCCUGUGAGGAAUAAUCUCUGGAAACUUGGAUAGAAUCCUUUGGCUCACACUAGAAAAGGUUCAGCCUUCACAAACCAAGUACAGCAGGGCCACAGGAGCAGUCCAGCAAUAACCUAAAGAAUUCAGAUGGUAUGGUGAGAGGACUGGAGCUCCUGAUGAGAAUGACAGCUGACUCCUGAUGUGCUACUGCGACCUGCUUUUUUUCCCCCAGCAUUUUUCUUUCU